AUACGGAGGAUGCGAGCGUUAUCCGGAUUUAUUGGGUUUAAAGGGAGCGUAGGCGGGAGCUUAAGUCAGCGGUUAAAUGGUGCGGCUCAACCGUGCCCUGCCGUUGAAACUGGGUUUCUUGAGAGUGCAAGAGGCGGAUGGAAUUCAUGGUGUAGCGGUGAAAUGCUUAGAUAUCAUGAAGAACUCCGAUUGCGAAGGCAGUCCGCUGGGGCACGUCUGACGCUGAUGCUCGAAGGUGCGGGAAUCAAACAGGAUUAGAUACCCUGGUAGUCCACGCCGUAAACGAUGGGCGCUCGUCGUCGGCGGCAGACAGUCGGCGGCCAAGCGAAAGCGAUAAGCGCCCCACCUGGGGAGUACGGUCGCAAGGCUGAAACUCAAAUGAAUUGACGGGG
rnacentral:rRNA from 1 species